GGUUUCGUGGCCCAAUGGCAAGGCGUCUGACUACGACGAGCGUUCAUUACGAGACAACUCGACAACGGAUGCUUCACGGUAAUCAGGAGAUUCUGGGUUCGACCCCCAGCGAGAUCA